rnacentral:rRNA from 1 species
AUUGAACGCUGGCGGCAGGCUUUACACAUGCAAGUCGGGCGAGUGGCGGACGGGUGAGUAACGUAUCGGGACCUGCCUAGUGGUGGGGGAUAACUGCUCGAAACGGUAGCUAAUACCGCAUACCAUUCGAUCAGCCCAUAUCUGAUUAGCUGGUUGGUGGGGUAAAGGCCCACCAGGGCGACGAUCAGUAGCGGGUCUGAGAGGAUGAUCAGCCACACUGGGACUGAGACACGGCCCAGACUCCUACGGGAGGCAGCAGUGGGGAAUAUUGCACAAUGGGCGCAAGCCUGAUGCAGCCAUGCCGCGUGUAUGAAGAAGGCCUUCGGGUUGUAAAGUACUUUCAGACGGGAGGCGGUACCGGCAGAAGAAGCACCGGCUAACUCCGUGCCAGCAGCCGCGGUAAUUC